UGGGCAACCUGCCCCAGACACUGGGACAACUCCGGGAAACCGGGGCUAAUACCGGAUACUCUCAGCCGACCGCAUGACCGGCUGAGGAAAGCUCCGGCGGUCUGGGAUGGGCCCGCGGCCUAUCAGCUUGUUGGUGAGGUAACGGCUCACCAAGGCGACGACGGGUAGCUGGUCUGAGAGGAUGGCCAGCCACAUUGGGACUGAGACACGGCCCAGACCUCCGUACGGG
rnacentral:rRNA from 1 species